UACGAAGGGGGCUAGCGUUGUUCGGAUUUACUGGGCGUAAAGCGCACGUAGGCGGAUCGUUAAAUCGGGGGUGAAAUCCUGGAGCUCAACUCCAGAACUGCCUUUGAUACUGAGGAUCUUGAGUUCGGGAGAGGUGAGUGGAACUGCGAGUGUAGAGGUGAAAUUCGUAGAUAUUCGCAAGAACACCAGUGGCGAAGGCGGCUCACUGGCCCGAUACUGACGCUGAGGCACGAAAGCGUGGGGAGCAAACAGG
rnacentral:rRNA from 1 species